rnacentral:lncRNA from 1 species
AUCAAAUUUUUAUAUGAAUUUUAAAACGUUCUUGUCAGAUGAAUCACAAUCUGUGAUAAAUGACAGUAGGUGUCACUUUAUAAAAACGUAUGAAGACUUAUAUAAGUUUCGUUGCAUUAAUCAAAUCCAAACAUUGCCAGAAAUUAAUAAUUAUUUAAACAAAGACAAACAAACAAACACUAUGAAUAAUGCAUUUUUAUCUAAUAAUAAUGCGAGUAGUAGUAGUAGUAUUAGUAGUAGUAGUAGUAGUAGUAAAAGUAGUAGUAAAAGUAGCAACAACAGUGGUAACAGCGGUAAUACCAAUAAACAAAGUUGCGAUGUUAAUUCAUUAACUUCUACUGAAAAAGAACAAAAAAUAUUUCCAUGUGGUUUAGUGUCUGCAUCUAUAUUUAAUGAUAAAAUUAAAAUAUCACAUAACACCACCAGUUAUGUUAUAAACAAAUCGUAUAACGUUAAACAUUAUGAUUUUUUUUCUUAUAUUAAAAAACAUAAAAUUUUUUUUAAUAAAGCAGAUUGUAAAGUAUGGUUAAAUACAUUUUCUCCUGAGUACAAAAAUUGGUUUAAUCCACCCAUGACAUCUUCAUUUAUAAAGCUAUACGGUGCAAUCGAUGAAGAUAUAGAACCUGGUAGUAAUUAUAAAAUAACUUUUACUCAAAAUACCUGGCCAGCUGAAUAUUGGAAAGCUAGCAAAUCAUUUUUAUUAGUUUCGUUAAGAGCUUUUGGUAAUGAGUCAUAUGAAUUAGCUUACGCUUUUUUUAUGUUAGCCUUUAUACAUAUCAUUAUUAUUAUUAUUAUUUUAAUUUUUGUUAAAUGUGAAUUCCGAAGAUUGGGAAAAACAUUUGCUUAUUGUAACAUGCAUAUGAUAACUACACCUACAAGUGGUAACACUUCAAGUGAACCAUAUAAUCCUAUGCAAGUAUGUCUCCCUGAACAAUUUGAAAUUAAUAAUGAAAAAAAUAAUGCCUAUACAAAAAAUCUAAUUCUUAAAACUGCUAAAAAAGGGGUAUGUUUCUGUCCGUUGCAUUAAGUUUUUUUUUUUUUUUUUUUUUUUUUUUUUACCAUUUGAUGACUAUUGCGUGGGCUAUAAUGUUAGCUACUGCUGCUUUAGCCAUUAUGUGGUUAUUCUUAUGACCACUUUUAUUUGUUUAUUUGUUUGCUUGUUUGUUUUUUUUUUAUGGUCCUUUUGUUAGCUACUUUUUUAAUUUGUUUUUUUUUUUUCUUAAUUUUGCUUAUGUG